AUUGAACGCUGGCGGCGUGCUUUACACAUGCAAGUCGGACGAGUGGCGAACGGGUGAGUAACGCAUCGGAACGUACCUAGUAAUGGGGGAUAACUGUCCGAAAGGACAGCUAAUACCGCAUAUUAUUCGAGCGGCCGAGGUCUGAUUAGCUGGUUGGCGGGGUAAAGGCCCACCAAGGCGACGAUCAGUAGCUGGUCUGAGAGGAUGAUGCGCCAACCUGGGACUGUGAGACGGCCCGUACGCCGACGGGAGGCAGCAGUGGGGAAUUUGGGACAAUGGGCGCAAGGCUGAGGCAGCCAUGCCGAGUGUAUGAAGAAGGCCUUCGGGUUGGAAAGUACUUUUAUCGGGGAGGCGUUACUGGCAGAAGAAGCACCGGCUAACUCCGUGCCAGCAGCCGCGGUAAGAC
rnacentral:rRNA from 1 species